CCUACGGGUGGCAGCAGUGAGGAAUAUUGGUCAAUGGACGAGAGUCUGAACCAGCCAAGUAGCGUGAAGGAUGACUGCCCUCUGGGUGGUAAACUUCUUUUAUAAAGGGAUAAAACGAGGCACGUGUGCCUUUUUGCAUGUACUUUAUGAAUAAGGAUCGGCUAACUUCGUUCCAGCAGCCGCGGUAAUACGGAGGGUCCGAGGGUUAUCCGGAUUUAUUGGGUUUAAAGGGAGCGUAGAUGGGUUGUUAAGUCAGUUGUGAAAGUUUGCGGCUCAACCGUAAAAUUGCAAUUGAUACUGGCAGUCUUGAGUACAGUUGAGGUAGGCGGAAUUCGUGGUGUAGCGGUGAAAUGCUUAGAGAUCAGGAAGAACACCGAUUGCGAAGGCAGCUUCCUAAACUGUGACUGACAUUGAUGUGCGAAAGUGUGGGGAGCAAACAGGAUUAGAUACCCGUGUAGUC
rnacentral:rRNA from 1 species